UGGGGAAUAUUGGGCAAUGGGCGGAAGCCUGACCCAGCGACGCCGCGUGGGCGAAGAAGGCCUUCGGGUUGUAAAGCCCUGUCACAGGGGAUGAAGAGGUGACGGUACCCUGAGAGGAAGCCCCGGCUAACUACGUGCCAGCAGCCGCGGUAACACGUAGGGGGCGAGCGUUGUCCGGAAUCACUGGGCGUAAAGGGCGCGUAGGCGGUUAGCCAAGUCAGGUGUGAAAGCCCGGGGCUCAACCCUGGGACUGCACAUGAAACUGGCUAACUUGAGGGCAGGAGAGGCAGGUGGAAUUCCUGGUGUAGCGGUGAAAUGCGUAGAUAUCAGGAGGAACACCAGUGGCGAAGGCGACCUGCUGGACUGGCCCUGACGCUGAGGCGCGAAAGCGUGGGGAGCGAACA
rnacentral:rRNA from 1 species